AAUUCUGCCUGGGCCAGCUGCCCCCACACCCGCAAACCCCAUUGCCCACCCUGCUCACCGCACCCCAAUGGGUGCCCUCGAGCCCCCUGCCCCGGGAACCCCAGUGGGCACCUCGUGUGUCCUGCCCCAUUUGUGUCCCAAGGGGCACCCCCUGCCCAAAACACCCCGUGACCCCCCCCCCAUAUCCCUCUGCAGACUCUGCCCCACACUGAGCUCUCCCCGUGCUGCCCGGCCCCCAUCCAUGUCCCCACCAGCACCACUUUUGGGGAAAAUAACCCAGCAAGACCCAGUUUGUACUGGGAUCAAGGUGCCCUUUACCAGUUUAACCUCCUAACACUGGGGCUGAGCCUUUCCCUGGGUCCCAGUGGGGACCCCCACCAGGGUGCUGGCAGGGUGGGGGGCAUGAGGUUCCCCGGGGUGCCCCAGAGCUGUGGGGACAGCCCCGUCCCAUCCCAAUUCCUGGAUACUGGUGCAGGAGGGGAUGGCAGCGUCCCCGUGCUGGCGACGGGGUUCUUGGGGGACCUGCAUACAUGGGGGGGCUGUGUAGGGGACCCCCAGGGCACCCAUGGGUGCCAUCUGUGGGGUUUGGGGAGCAGCCUCAGUCCCCAGCCCAGGGGGACAGGACAAAGGGAGGCUGGGGGGUGGCACCGCUGCUGUCGGCAGCAAAACCCCAGCCCGGAGGCGCUCGGUGGGGAGCUUUGCUAAUUGCUGCGCUGGAAAUUGUGCUAAAUUACGACAAACGCCACCCGCUCUGCGGUUUGCUGACGCUCCGCUUUAAUGCACCCGUUGCAGAUCUCCGGGCUCCAGCCCCCUGCUCCCCGGGAUCGCCUGCUCCAGCCCCUCGUGGGGCCACGCGGGAUGGAUCCUCCGGGCACGGGGACACCACCAACACAGCAACACCACCCUCGUUCCACUCCAUCCAACGCAACGUCCCCCCCCCCCCGGGGCGAAGCCCACCCGGGGCAGCUCCGCGGUGGCACCGGGUGCUGCUGCUGCUGCCCCAGCUUGCAAAACCGCGGCUGAAAAUGUGCCCAGCUCACGGCUUGGCGCAAGCGUCCCCGUGCAGGGCUCGCCCAGAGCUGGUGGACAAAGCGUGCACGGCGUCCUCCAGCGCGUAGAAAGCCUGGAAGAGGUCCGGGGAGGUGGCCCGGCACUCCAGGUACCGCCGCAGCGUGGCCAGGCUGUCCCACACCUCGGGCUGCGAGGGGCAAGGCUGCGCCACCACCGUCUCCCCAGCAUCCUCGCCCUCCACCGUCCCCCCGUCCCAGUCCGCCACCUCGGCCGUUUCGGCGUCUGCCGGCUCCCCGAGGCGCUCCAGCCCCUCGUCCAUCAGCACGAAGCGCUCGAUCUGCUCCUGGCCGAAGCGGACGGGUGCCAGCAGCGUGUCGGGGCUGGCGUCGGGGCUGAAGCCGGCGGCGCGGAAGCAGCUGGCGAUGAGCCCCGGGCGCACGUCACCCCAGGCUUGCACCAGCAUGUGCAGGGCAUCCAAAAGAUUUGGCUGCUCCAAGCCACGUGCCGCCGGGAGCCGAGUCAGCAGCCGGCGCCGGUAGUGGCCCUUCAGGUCCCUGGCGAUGCCGCGGUCCAGGGGUUGUGCCAGCGCGGCGGCGGGGGGCACGAAAACCAUCCUGACGUUGGAGAGCUCGAGGUAGGGGUGCGCCUGGCGCCGGUCGAGGAGCAGCAGGAUGCUCUUCCCCUUGCGCCGCAUCUCCUCGUUGAAGUCCUGCAGCCACUCGGCGAAGAGCGGGGCGGUCAGGAGGGCCUGGCCGCUGGCGCGGUAGCUCCAGGGCAUGUGCUGCAGGUUAACGCCGCGCAGGCAGCGGGGCCGGGGGCUCUGCCCCACCACCCGCAGCGCCGCCUUCUCCGUGCCGUCGGCGUUGGCGCAGAGCAGCAGCGUCAGCCUACCGCCGGGGCCGGCUGGUUCAUCCUCCUCGGCCAGCGGGGUGUGCAGGAGGACCCCCGUCUCCCCGCAGCUGUACACCUCGGAGGGCGCGUAGCUGCGCAGCAGCUCGGGCAGCACCGCGCUGCUCCAGCGCUCGGCCCCCAGCUGCUCCGCGUCCCCCCUUUCCCGGGGCGGCUUCUCCAGGGCGAUGUUGUGGCGCAGCCUGAAGCGGGCCAGCCAGUUGCCGCUGGGCUCGAAGCCCGGUUUGCCCAACGCCUCGGCCAGGUUUUUGGCCUUGACCUGCAGGAGCGGGGCGCUGACGGGGAGCUCGGCCGCUCGGGCGCUCUCCACCCAGCGCAGCAACGCGGCCUCCACGGCCACGUCCUUGCCCUCCCGCUUGCGCUUGCGCUCGGGGUUGCUGUUGUGGUGCCACUCGCUCAGGAUCCGCUCCUUGUUCUUGAUGAUGCGGCAGAUUUGGGGCUGCGACACCCCGAAACGCUUGGCCAGCUCGCUCUGCGACACCUUGGGGCCGUCCAGCAUCUCCAGCACCCGCACCUUCUCCGUCAGCGACAGCUCCUUGCGCUCUUUGCGGGGUGCCCCCACCUCCGUCCCGGUGCACCCGCUGGCACCGGGGGGGGCUCCGGCCAGCCGUGCCGCGGGACCACCGCGCUGGCCAAAACCCCGACCGCAGGCACCGCAG
rnacentral:lncRNA from 1 species